rnacentral:tRNA from 1 species
UUCCUAUUAGUUUAAAGGUAGAACUAGAUAUUCCUAAUAUCUGUGUCCAAGUUCGAAUCUUGGGUGGGAAU